AUGGCUCAGGACGAACGCUGGCGGCGUGCCUAAUACAUGCAAGUCGAACGGUCUUUCUAUGGAAGCUUGCUUCCACUGAGAAGAUAGUGGCGAACGGGUGAGUAACACGUGGGUAACCUGCCCAUAAGAGGGGGGAUAACAUCCGGAAACGGGUGCUAAUACCGCAUAGUUUCUUGAUCGCAUGAUCGGAAGGAAAGACGGCCUUUGUGCUGUCGCUUAUGGAUGGACCCGCGGCGUAUUAGUUAGUUGGUGAGGUAACGGCUCACCAAGACGAUGAUACGUAGCCGACCUGAGAGGGUGAUCGGCCACAUUGGGACUGAGACACGGCCCAAACUCCUACGGGAGGCAGCAGUAGGGAAUCUUCCGCAAUGGACGAAAGUCUGACGGAGCAACGCCGCGUGAGUGAAGAAAAGGUUUUCGGAUCGUAAAACUCUGUUGUCAGAGAAGAACAAGUUGGAGAGUAACUGCUCCAGCCUUGACGGUAUCUGACCAGAAAGCCACGGCUAACUACGUGCCAGCCGCAGC
rnacentral:rRNA from 1 species